AGCGAACGCUGGCGGCAGGCCUAACACAUGCAAGUCGAGCGGAUGACGGGAGCUUGCUCCUUGAUUCAGCGGCGGACGGGUGAGUAAUGCCUAGGAAUCUGCCUGGUAGUGGGGGACAACGUUUCGAAAGGAACGCUAAUACCGCAUACGUCCUACGGGAGAAAGCAGGGGACCUUCGGGCCUUGCGCUAUCAGAUGAGCCUAGGUCGGAUUAGCUAGUAGGUGAGGUAAUGGCUCACCUAGGCGACGAUCCGUAACUGGUCUGAGAGGAUGAUCAGUCACACUGGAACUGAGACACGGUCCAGACUCCUACGGGAGGCAGCAGUGGGGAAUAUUGGACAAUGGGCGAAAGCCUGAUCCAGCCAUGCCGCGUGUGUGAAGAAGGUCUUCGGAUUGUAAAGCACUUUAAGUUGGGAGGAAGGGCAGUAAGUUAAUACCUUGCUGUUUUGACGUUACCAACAGAAUAAGCACCGGCUAACUUCGUGCCAGCCGCCGCCGUAAUAC
rnacentral:rRNA from 1 species